AAAUAGUCAUUGAACAUCAAGAUUCUGCACCGACCGUCCCUAGUACAAGUGGCAAAUGGCUUGGUGGUUGGUACCCGAGAUCUCAAGUUCGAAUCCUUAAUUGAUUCACUUAAUUGAUUCACAUUUCUAGCUAAGUUUAUUUCUAGAUGAAAUAAAUGAGAAUCGGAUAGCGUGCUAUCUAUUUCUCAAAAAAAAGUUAAAAAAAAAUCAAGAUCUUGCUCCUAGUCUUAAUUAUCUCAACCUACUUAAACU
rnacentral:lncRNA from 1 species